GACAGAGGGUGCAAACGUUGUUCGGAAUUACUGGGCGUAAAGCGCGUGUAGGCAGUUUCGCAAGUCGGGUGUGAAAGCCCUGGGCUCAACCUAGGAAGUGCACUCGAAACUGCGAGACUUGAGUCCUGGAGAGGAAGGCGGAAUUCUCGGUGUAGAGGUGAAAUUCGUAGAUAUCGAGAGGAACACCGGUGGCGAAGGCGGCCUUCUGGACAGUGACUGACGCUGAGACGGCGAAAGCGUGGGGAGCAAACAGG
rnacentral:rRNA from 1 species